rnacentral:rRNA from 1 species
GUGGGGAAUAUUGGACAAUGGGCGCAAGCCUGAUCCAGCCAUACCGCGUGGGUGAAGAAGGCCUUCGGGUUGUAAAGCCCUUUUGUUGGGAAAGAAAUCCUGUCGGUUAAUACCUGGCGGGGAUGACGGUACCCAAAGAAUAAGCACCGGCUAACUUCGUGCCAGCAGCCGCGGUAAUACGAAGGGUGCAAGCGUUACUCGGAAUUACUGGGCGUAAAGCGUGCGUAGGUGGUGGUUUAAGUCCGUUGUGAAAGCCCUGGGCUCAACCUGGGAAUUGCAGUGGAUACUGGAUCACUAGAGUGUGGUAGAGGGAUGCGGAAUUUCUGGUGUAGCAGUGAAAUGCGUAGAGAUCAGAAGGAACAUCCGUGGCGAAGGCGGCAUCCUGGGCCAACACUGACACUGAGGCACGAAAGCGUGGGGAGCAAACAGGAUUAGAAACCCGGAUAGUCC